CUGAAUAGAAGCUAAGACAGAAAGGGAAUUCAAAGAAGCAAUCCAACUUCGUCGCAGACGGGCAGGCUGUAGACCCGGCCACCGGUAGAUCGUACGUGUACAACAGUAAGACCGGGCAGCGGAAGUGGGCAGACACGGCUACAGCAGUGGUGGCCGCCAACAGACUGAGGAACACGAGGAGAACGAGCCCGAGAGAGGCACCCCAGGACCCCAACCCUGCUACCAAAAAUGCCUCA